GAGAAUAUAGUUCAAUGGCAGGGCGUGUGCUCAGCAUGCAUGAGGUCCUGGGUUCAAUCCCCAGUACCUCCA
rnacentral:tRNA from 1 species